rnacentral:rRNA from 1 species
AUGCAAGUCGAGCGGAUGACGGGAGCUUGCUCCUUGAUUCAGCGGCGGACGGGUGAGUAAUGCCUAGGAAUCUGCCUGGUAGUGGGGGACAACGUUUCGAAAGGAACGCUAAUACCGCAUACGUCCUACGGGAGAAAGCAGGGGACCUUCGGGCCUUGCGCUAUCAGAUGAGCCUAGGUCGGAUUAGCUAGUUGGUGGGGUAAUGGCUCACCAAGGCGACGAUCCGUAACUGGUCUGAGAGGAUGAUCAGUCACACUGGAACUGAGACACGGUCCAGACUCCUACGGGAGGCAGCAGUGGGGAAUAUUGGACAAUGGGCGAAAGCCUGAUCCAGCCAUGCCGCGUGUGUGAAGAAGGUCUUCGGAUUGUUAAGCACUUUAAGUUGGGA